UACGGAGGGUGCGAGCGUUGUCCGGAAUCACUGGGCGUAAAGGGCGCGUAGGCGGCCGCGUAAGUCACUUGUGAAAUCCCGGGGCUCAACUCCGGGGCCGCAGGUGAGACUGCGUGGCUAGAGCACGGUAGAGGCGAGUGGAAUUCCCGGUGUAGCGGUGGAAUGCGUAGAUAUCGGGAAGAACACCGGUGGCGAAGGCGGCUCGCUGGGCCGUUGCUGACGCUGAUGCGCGAAAGCGUGGGGAGCAAACAGG
rnacentral:rRNA from 1 species